UUCAGGAGAUUGUGCUGCUCUCCUCCGCUAUCAAGAUGAGGCGGGGAAACGGCAAUGAAUAACUGUGAUGGCGCUGAAGUAGCUCAGGCGGCUGUAUAGUGGAAGACAGGUGCCGGUCCCGGUUGUUUCACGCCAGGAAUGGCUUCUUUCUUCACUGGAGCUGCUUUUGCAUUGUUCUGUCCAUGAGGCACUCCUGCUACAUCCUUGGGCGUAUGUCUGCUCUGCACUGAUCUCGGCAAAAAAAGAUUGGAAUUGGAGGAGAAAAUCACCACAGGCAGUAGUGGAAAAAGUGAAAGCUCAGAGACUACCCUCACUGUCUGUAUUUUCCACUCCUCCCUUGUCACUUCCCCACUGGCUUCUUCACAAACCACUCACCUGAGAUUGCUCCAGCAAAGGCCACCAGGGACC